UGGGGAAUAUUGCACAAUGGGCGCAAGCCUGAUGCAGCCAUGCCGCGUGUGUGAAGAAGGCCUUCGGGUUGUAAAGCACUUUCAGCGGGGAGGAAGGCGUUAAGGUUAAUAACCUUGGCGAUUGACGUUACCCGCAGAAGAAGCACCGGCUAACUCCGUGCCAGCAGCCGCGGUAAUACGGAGGGUGCAAGCGUUAAUCGGAAUUACUGGGCGUAAAGCGCACGCAGGCGGUCUGUCAAGUCGGAUGUGAAAUCCCCGGGCUCAACCUGGGAACUGCAUUCGAAACUGGCAGGCUAGAGUCUUGUAGAGGGGGGGAGAAUUCCAGGUGUAGCGGUGAAAUGCGUAGAAAUCUGGAGGAAUACCGGUGGCGAAGGCGGCCCCCUGGACAAAGACUGACGCUCAGGUGCGAAAGCGUGGGGAGCAAACAGG
rnacentral:rRNA from 1 species